rnacentral:rRNA from 1 species
AGAGUUUGAUCAUGGCUCAGAUUGAACGCUGGCGGCAUGCCUUACACAUGCAAGUCGAACGGCAGCACGGGGGCAACCCUGGUGGCGAGUGGCGAACGGGUGAGUAAUACAUCGGAACGUGUCCUCUUGUGGGGGAUAACCAGUCGAAAGAUUGGCUAAUACCGCAUGAGAUCGCAAGAUGAAAGCGGGGGACCGCAAGGCCUCGCGCGAGAGGAGCGGCCGAUGUCGGAUUAGCUAGUUGGUGGGGUAAAAGCCUACCAAGGCGACGAUCCGUAGCUGGUCUGAGAGGACGACCAGCCACACUGGGACUGAGACACGGCCCAGACUCCUACGGGAGGCAGCAGUGGGGAAUUUUGGACAAUGGGCGCAAGCCUGAUCCAGCCAUGCCGCGUGUGUGAAGAAGGCCUUCGGGUUGUAAAGCACUUUCGGACGGAACGAAAUCGCGCGGUUGAAUAUUCCGCGUGGAUGACGGUACCGUAAGAAGAAGCACCGGCUAACUA